GGUCAUAACUGGGGCAGUGAGCAUGACCCAGAUACCGAUUCUUGUGCCCCGUCCACCUCAUCUGGGGGCCGGUACAUCAUGUAUCCCUCCGCGGUCUCGGGGUACGAAAAAAAUAAUCAGCUGUUUUCUCCAUGCAGCAGACAGUAUAUAUUCAAUGUCAUCAAGACAAAGGGCUACAACUGCUUUAAAGAGUCCUCUGGUAAGUUUUAAUUUCUUUCCCCCCUGUGUUUGUUUAAUUUUAAACAGCUAGCCAUUAUAGUGAAUAUAUGCUUAUACUCAAACUUCUGUACAUAAACAUCAAAAACUUUAGCUUCAUUUCCUCUACAUGCAAUGGUAUUUCUCUUAAGGGUACUGGC